CCUACGGGUGGCAGCAGUGGGGAAUAUUGGACAAUGGGGGAAACCCUGAUCCAGCAAUGCCGCGUGCGUGACGAAGGCCUUCGGGUUGUAAAGCGCUUUCGCCCGCGACGAUGAUGACGGUAGCGGGAGAAGAAGCCCCGGCUAACUCCGUGCCAGCAGCCGCGGUAAUACGGAGGGGGCUAGCGUUGUUCGGAAUUACUGGGCGUAAAGGGUGCGUAGGCGGUAUUCCAAGUCGGGCGUGAAAGGCCUGGGCUCAACCCGGGAACUGCGUUCGAGACUGGCAUACUGGAGUCCGGGAGAGGUGAGCGGAAUUCCCAGUGUAGAGGUGAAAUUCGUAGAUAUUGGGAAGAACACCGGUGGCGAAGGCGGCUCACUGGACCGGUACUGACGCUGAGGCACGACAGCGUGGGGAGCAAACAGGAUUAGAUACCCCUGUAGUC
rnacentral:rRNA from 1 species